UACGUAGGGGGCUAGCGUUGUCCGGAUUUAUUGGGCGUAAAGAGCGUGUAGGCGGCCAUGUAGGUCCGGUGUGAAAACUCGAGGCUUAACCUCGAGAUGUCAUCGGAAACCAUUUGGCUAGAGUCCGGAAGAGGAGAGUGGAAUUCCUGGUGUAGCGGUGAAAUGCGCAGAUAUCAGGAAGAACACCAAUGGCAAAAGCAGCUCUCUGGGACGGUACUGACGCUGAGACGCGAAAGCGUGGGGAGCGAACAGG
rnacentral:rRNA from 1 species